AAGCUCUUCGGAGUGUAAACCACUGUUGCCCGGGACGAACAGCUCGAUUUUUCGAGCCUGACGGUACCGGGUGAGGAAGCACCGGCUAACUCCGUGC
rnacentral:rRNA from 1 species